GGACUACCGGGGUUUCUAAUCCUGUUUGCUCCCCUAGCUUUCGCGCCUCAGCGUCAGUUAUGGUCCAGUGCGCCGCUUUCGCCACAGGUGUUCCUUCCGAUAUCUACGCAUUUCACCGCUACACCGGAAAUUCCACGCACCUCUCCCAUACUCAAGCCCGGCAGUUUCUCAUGCAGACUUCGAGUUGAGCCCGAAGAUUUCACAUAAGACUUGCCAAACCGCCUACGCGCCCUUUACGCCCAAUAAUUCCGAACAACGCUUGCCCCCCUCGUAUUACCGCGGCUGCUGGCAC
rnacentral:rRNA from 1 species